ensembl:lncRNA
GAAGUAUUUCAUUAGUCUUUUCAGAUAAUUGAGAAUAUUCUUCUUUGAUACUAAACUGCAGCUCAACAAGAGGUAAUUUCUUAAAGGUCAGUUGCAAUGCAGAAUCUGAGAACAUACUAAUGACUCUUUUGUCCUCUGUACAUUAAAAUCCAUUUGGUCUAUCUUGCCCUUUAAAUGGAUGUUUUAUCCGUAUGUGAUUUGGUCAUUUGGAAAAUACUGGAUUGCUGAGUUAUGCAGCUUUUCCAAAUAUUGACACAGUUUGUUACAUGAUAUCAAAAAAUUACAAUUGUUAAUAUUACCAUCCAUCUCAUCAGAAAAGUCUAAAAGUAUGUAGAAGCUGUCACAGUCAUAGUGGUGGAUAUAAGUUUUCCAAAAUUCUAAUUUUUGUUUAACAGCUCACAUUUUUAUUGUUGCCAGUAAAUACUGCCAGUUUUCCUUGAAGUGACAGGCUCGCUUGGUUUGGUACUGUGAAAAUGUCCACCAACUGGUUUGUCUGUCAGUCAUACUUUCAAGUAUAAAGAUGGCGCCCCAUGAAGAAAGCAGCUGGUUCAGCUCACAACUCAGUUAUAGAAAUACUUUUCCUUGAGACAACCUCAAGAUAGCAGAAAUGCUUUCUGUGCACUUUUUGUUUUGACACAAAGCUUAUUAAAAUAAUGAGUGAGGGUUGACAUUUAAUGAAAUUGCUGUUUUUUAUUGACUCAACAAGGAGAUUUUUAUUGAAACUGGCCUUUUCUUCUUACUGUGAGUGCAUGGCGGGGAAGAAGAUGACCAUCAGUACAGCUUGGUGCCACUGCCUUGGUUUGUUGUUAACAUGGCAGCAGUUUUACCCAUCAGUGCUUCUGCAAAUGUCAAAAACAGUGAAAAAGGCAAAUGAUGUGUUAGUAUUAUUAUGACAACAAUUUUGACCUCACGGACCACCCAAAAGGGUCUCAGGGACCUGCAAGGGUCUGUGGGCCGGACUUUGAGGACUCCUGACUUAGAGGAUUUGACCUCCCUCAGCUUUUCUGAGUGUCUUUAUCCUCAAGAUCCCAAGGCAUUCUCAGAGGUUGCCCCUGUGCCCAGAGAAAUGGAAGGAGAAAAGCAGACCCCACCACCACUCCACUCGCUCUGGCUUUGCAAUUCCUUGGACCAUUGAGCUGCUUUGCGCCCGGGGUUAUUUCAGCUGGAGAAUCACCUUGACAUUCCUGAACUGAAGGUGAGCCUGGUGCUCCCCAAACUUGUGCCUCAGGGGUUUAGUGAACACCCCACUGACCUCCAAAUUUCCCUUUACUUAGCUUCUGAUUCUUUCCAGCCUCCAGGGCCUGGCAUGCCUUCAGGCAGCAGAAACACUGCCCUUCGCCUGUCUGUGCAGCAGCAGAGGGGCUGAAGGGCUGCAUUUUCCUCUCUGCCCUCCCUGUGAAGCGGGCCUAGCUGAAUUUUAACAUUUUAACCCGCUUCUUUCUUUGCGUCUGAUCUUUUUUUUUUUUUUUUUUUUUUUAACUGUGUGUCAGGCCAACACCGUCUAUUGUCUCUUUCCUUUAGGAUCUAUCUAAAGGUUUUUUUUCUAACAUACACCAUUUGAUUUUGUCCCGUGGGGUCCCUACUGUGAGAGAUACGCCAACAGUCCAUUCAUUCUGGGGGCAUUGAAAGUGUCCGUUUCUCUGACAGAUUCUGCUUGCUUUUCCCUCUGAACAGCCACUUCCUGGAAGAAAGCACCUUCUGCCAGAGUCACGUUCACUCAGGCCCAGCCGAUGAGUGGCUGUCCUCAGGCGGCCUCUAGAGGCACACCUCGGCACCAGGGCUGAGCCCCAGUGGCUAAACCCACACGUGUUCCCUCAUGCACGGCACAGGAAUCUGUCACCUGGAAAUGCUCCAGCAGCACUUGAGGUUUUCUAUACUACGUGGGUGUGUUAGUUUCCUCUUACUGACAUAACACAUGACCACAGACUUGCCUUCGAACAACAGAAGUUUAUUGUUUUGUGGUUCAUUAGCUCAGAAGUCCAAAGUCAAUUUUACUCGGCUAAAGUCAAGGUAUUGGCAGGGCUAGUUCCUUCUGAAGGCUCUAGGGGUAAAUGUUUCCUCUCCCUUUCUGGGUUCUGGAGAUUGCCUUGAUAGUUCCUGGUUCAUGGCUCCUUCUUUACAUUGUUCCAAUCUCUUGCUUCUGUUGUGCCUGCUCCUACUUCAAUGUCAAAUCUCCCUCUGACUCUCUAUUGGGGUGACAUCUGGGGCCCACAGAAUAAUCCAGGAUAUUCUCCCUACCGCAAUAUCCUUAAUAACACCUGCACAUUCCCUUUGAGGAUGUGGACGUCUUUGAGGGCUGUUAUUCAGCCUAGUAUAUCAUGUUUGAAAGUAAGGACAGUGACACUUCUCUUUUGAGCUUGCCCAGUCUGGCCGUUAAGAACCUCUCUUUCUUCCAAAAGAAAUUCCUCUCCUCAGCUUCCUCCCCACAUCUUCGUUAAUUUGUUCUUGCUUCACACUGCUCUAUUGUGACUACAAAAUUCCAGUUCUGUGCGUCAAUGGACAAACUUUAUCCCCUAGAUGGGUUAGGCUGGGCAACGGCCAUUUACAUUUUUCUAUAACAUAACUGUUGCUACAGUUCAAACUCAAGCAAAAAACAAAAACAAAAACCAAAAAGCAACCAUUUGUUUUCUGACUAGUGUUCAGUUCUCCCACCGUUUCUCACUGGAGAUUUGCUAGUGCUUGCCCUGGCCUUCAUAGGCUUCAGUUCUGAUUGGGGGAAAAGCCUGUUAGGG